UUCAGUAGAGGCGGGGAUUCGCUAUGUUGGUCAGGCUGGUCUCAAACUCCUGACCUUAGUGAUCCACCUGCCUCGGCCUCCCAAAGUGCUCUGAUUACAGGCAUGAACUACCGCGACCGACCUACUGUUUGUCUUUUAAAGUGAUCUUGAGCAUAUGUUCUACAAAUAAUGAAGGUGUACAACCUCAGAAACUGUUUGCUAUCAGUAGCUAUAAUCAGUCUUGUUUAUAUUUCAUAUACUUGUAUGUUUUAGCCAAGCUAGCCUUUAUGGGAAGCGCAGAAGUCAGAAAGAGGAAGAUGAGCAAGAAGAUCUAACCAAGGAUAUGGAAGACCCAACACCUGUACCCAAUAUAGAAGAAGUAGUACUUCCCAAAAAUGUGAACCUAAAGAAAGAUAGUGAAAAUACACCUGUUAAAGGAGGAACUGUAGCAGAUCUAGAUGAGCAGGAUGAAGAAACAGUCACAGCAGGAGGAAAGGAAGAUGAAGAUCCUGCCAAAGGUGAUCAGAGUCGAUCAGUUGACCCUGGGGAAGAUAAUGUGACAGAGCAGACCAAUCACAUUAUUAUUCCUAGUUAUGCAUCAUGGUUUGAUUAUAACUGUAUUCAUGUGAUUGAACGGCGUGCUCUUCCUGAGUUCUUCAAUGGAAAAAACAAAUCCAAGACUCCAGAAAUAUACUUGGCAUAUCGAAAUUUUAUGAUUGACACGUAUCGUCUAAACCCCCAAGAGUAUUUAACUAGCACUGCUUGUCGGAGGAACUUGACUGGAGAUGUGUGUGCUGUGAUGAGGU
rnacentral:sRNA from 1 species